GCAUCUGUAGCCUAGUUGGUAGGUAAAGGCAGCACUCUAGUAUGUGUAUCAGCUUAGCUGAGGUCGUGAGUUCGACUCUCACCAGACACA
rnacentral:tRNA from 2 species